rnacentral:rRNA from 1 species
UACGACUACAUAUCAGGCAUAUCAAUAAGCGGAGGAAAAGAAACUAACAAGGAUUCCCUUAGUAACGGCGAGUGAAGCGGGAAGAGCUCAAAUUUGAAAUCUUCAAGGUUUUACCUUGACGAAUUGUAGUUUAAAGAAGUGUUUUCUGUUGGUGUUUUGGUAAAAGUUCUUUGGAAUAGGACAUCAUAGAGGGUGAGAAUCCCGUAUUUGACCAUUACUUCCAGCGUUGUGAUACACUUUCAAAGAGUCGGAUUGUUUGGGAAUGCAGUCCAAAAUGGGUGGUAAAUUUCAUCUAAAGCUAAAUAUUGGCGAGAGACCGAUAGCGAACAAGUACCGUGAGGGAAAGAUGAAAAGAACUUUGAAAAGAGAGUUAUACAGUACGUGAAAUUGUCAAAAGGGAAGCGUUUGACACCAGUGUUGUUUUCCUCGAAAAUCAAUUAAAAAGUAUGGGAUUUUGUAUUGUUAAGACCUUAUCAGCUUACGGUACUUUUUUCUUAUUCUUUUUAAUGCACUUUUCGUUUAACAAGUCAACAUCAAUUUCUUUUGUUGUAAAAAGGGUCAUUGGAAGGUGGCUUUCAUUUCGGAGAAAGUGUUUAUAGCCUUUGACUUCUGCAAUCGGAGAGAUUGAGGUCUGCAGCGUAGAUCCUUCGGGGUUAGAUACAUUUGUGCUAAGUUAUAGUUUUUCAUAGACAACUUGUUGACUAUGUUUAGUCUUGUAGCUUACUCGCUUAUGCUAUUUUACCUACGCUUAGGAUGUUGAAUCUGUGCGAGACUAC